GGAAAACUGGGAUAACUUAGAGGGGACAGAGGUGAAACUUUUAGCUGGAUUUUUCUAAAAUUUUCUAAUGAUACUGAAAUUAUUUCCAAUUGCCCCAGUGAGAAGAACACCAACUUGCAGGCAUCAAAAGCUCCAAACUCGUUUAAUUGAGCUUGAAGAAACUUGAAGAAGGAAUUUGGAUGUAUAAAAACAAGCUGAGAAGAGCAUCAGUGUGUUCACUGGCAGCACGGGCUGGGAUGAGGGCUGAGCAGGACCCAAGCUGCAGCACAUCAUCCAUUCAGCUUUCACCUCAUGUUUUAUCACGGCCUUUAUGAGACAGAUGUGAAUCGAUGAGUCCCAGGCCGAGCCGUGCCCGUGCCCUGUUCUGUCGGAGCUGGUGCUUUCCUGACAGGUUCACCAGCCACACUCUGUAAUAAAUACUCCUGGGUCUGCUGCUGUU